CAGGGAAGGUUCACAUGGCGUGAUGUGAAGAUGCAGGUUACCCAAGAUGAACCUGAAUUUCUUGCUCCUGCUCAAAGGAAUAGGAACGUUUCCCGCAAAAAAAAAGGAAUAGGACUGUACUCCUCCCAAAAGACAAAAGCAAGAUUUCUUAAGGCUAGAACACUACAGUGAUUGAUUAUGCACCUGAAGGAUUAAUGAAGCUGCUUGGACUGAAUUUCUCUUUAAAAUACAUGGUGCUUGUUUGGGAUGAUUGGGCAUAAAUAGUUGGGAAUUGGUUUUCUAU